rnacentral:rRNA from 1 species
GGCUCAGGAUGAACGCUGGCGGCGUGCUUAACACAUGCAAGUCGAACGAAGCACUUAGGAAUGAUUCUUCGGAUGAAAACUUAAGUGACUGAGUGGCGGACGGGUGAGUAACGCGUGGGUAACCUGCCUUGUACUGGGGGAUAACAGUUAGAAAUAGCUGCUAAUACCGCAUAAGCGCACAGCAUCACAUGAUGCAGUGUGCAAAACUCCGGUGGUACAAGAUGGACCCGCGUCUGAUUAGCUAGUUGGUGAGGUAACGGCCCACCAAGGCGACGAUCAGUAGCCGACCUGAGAGGGUGACCGGCCACAUUGGGACUGAGACACGGCCCAAACUCCUACGGGAGGCAGCAGUGGGGAAUAUUGCACAAUGGGCGAAAGCCUGAUGCAGCGACGCCGCGUGAAGGAUGAAGUAUUUCGGUAUGUAAACUUCUAUCAGCAGGGAAGAUAAUGACGGUACCUGACUAAGAAGCCCCGGCUAACUACGUG